AGCGAACGCUGGCGGCAGGCCUAACACAUGCAAGUCGAACGAACACAUCGGGCUUCGUGCCGGUCGGGUGAGUAACGCGUGGGAACGUGGCAAUAGGUUCGGAACAACCUAGUGAAAGGUGUGAACAUCUCGAAAGGGUACCUAGUAGGAAAGAUUUAUCGCAUUUAGAACGGCCGGCGCCUGAUUAGCUAGUUGGUCGAGGUAAUGCAUCACGAAGGCGCCGAUCAGUAGCGGGGCUGCGAGGAUGAUCAGCCACCUUGGGACUGAGACACGGCCCAAACUCCUACGGGAGGCAGCAGUGGGGAAUCUUGCGCAAUGGGCGAAAGCCUGACGCAGCCAUGCCGCGUGAAUGAUGAAGGUCUUAGGAUUGUAAAAUUCUUUCACCGGGGACGAUAAUGACGGUACCCGGAGAAGAAGCCCCGGCUAACUUCGUG
rnacentral:rRNA from 1 species